rnacentral:rRNA from 1 species
GGUUAAGCGACUAAGCGUACACGGUGGAUGCCCUGGCAGUCAGAGGCGAUGAAGGACGUGCUAAUCUGCGAUAAGCGUCGGUAAGGUGAUAUGAACCGUUAUAACCGGCGAUUUCCGAAUGGGGAAACCCAGUGUGUUUCGACACACUAUCAUUAACUGAAUCCAUAGGUUAAUGAGGCGAACCGGGGGAACUGAAACAUCUAAGUACCCCGAGGAAAAGAAAUCAACCGAGAUUCCCCCAGUAGCGGCGAGCGAACGGGGAGGAGCCCAGAGCCUGAAUCAGUGUGUGUGUUAGUGGAAGCGUCUGGAAAGGCGCGCGAUACAGGGUGACAGCCCCGUACACAAAAAUGCACAUGCUGUGAGCUCGAUGAGUAGGGCGGGACACGUGGUAUCCUGUCUGAAUAUGGGGGGACCAUCCUCCAAGGCUAAAUACUCCUGACUGACCGAUAGUGAACCAGUACCGUGAGGGAAAGGCGAAAAGAACCCCGGCGAGGGGAGUGAAAAAGAACCUGAAACCGUGUACGUACAAGCAGUGGGAGCCUCUUUUAUGGGGUGACUGCGUACCUUUUGUAUAAUGGGUCAGCGACUUAUAUUCUGUAGCAAGGUUAACCGAAUAGGGGAGCCGAAGGGAAACCGAGUCUUAACUGGGCGUUAAGUUGCAGGGUAUAGACCCGAAACCCGGUGAUCUAGCCAUGGGCAGGUUGAAGGUUGGGUAACACUAACUGGAGGACCGAACCGACUAAUGUUGAAAAAUUAGCGGAUGACUUGUGGCUGGGGGUGAAAGGCCAAUCAAACCGGGAGAUAGCUGGUUCUCCCCGAAAGCUAUUUAGGUAGCGCCUCGUGAAUUCAUCUCCGGGGGUAGAGCACUGUUUCGGCAAGGGGGUCAUCCCGACUUACCAACCCGAUGCAAACUGCGAAUACCGGAGAAUGUUAUCACGGGAGACACACGGCGGGUGCUAACGUCCGUCGUGAAGAGGGAAACAACCCAGACCGCCAGCUAAGGUCCCAAAGUCAUGGUUAAGUGGGAAACGAUGUGGGAAGGCCCAGACAGCCAGGAUGUUGGCUUAGAAGCAGCCAUCAUUUAAAGAAAGCGUAAUAGCUCACUGGUCGAGUCGGCCUGCGCGGAAGAUGUAACGGGGCUAAACCAUGCACCGAAGCUGCGGCAGCGACGCUUAUGCGUUGUUGGGUAGGGGAGCGUUCUGUAAGCCUGCGAAGGUGUACUGUGAGGUAUGCUGGAGGUAUCAGAAGUGCGAAUGCUGACAUAAGUAACGAUAAAGCGGGUGAAAAGCCCGCUCGCCGGAAGACCAAGGGUUCCUGUCCAACGUUAAUCGGGGCAGGGUGAGUCGACCCCUAAGGCGAGGCCGAAAGGCGUAGUCGAUGGGAAACAGGUUAAUAUUCCUGUACUUGGUGUUACUGCGAAGGGGGGACGGAGAAGGCUAUGUUGGCCGGGCGACGGUUGUCCCGGUUUAAGCGUGUAGGCUGGUUUUCCAGGCAAAUCCGGAAAAUCAAGGCUGAGGCGUGAUGACGAGGCACUACGGUGCUGAAGCAACAAAUGCCCUGCUUCCAGGAAAAGCCUCUAAGCAUCAGGUAACAUCAAAUCGUACCCCAAACCGACACAGGUGGUCAGGUAGAGAAUACCAAGGCGCUUGAGAGAACUCGGGUGAAGGAACUAGGCAAAAUGGUGCCGUAACUUCGGGAGAAGGCACGCUGAUAUGUAGGUGAAGUCCCUCGCGGAUGGAGCUGAAAUCAGUCGAAGAUACCAGCUGGCUGCAACUGUUUAUUAAAAACACAGCACUGUGCAAACACGAAAGUGGACGUAUACGGUGUGACGCCUGCCCGGUGCCGGAAGGUUAAUUGAUGGGGUUAGCGCAAGCGAAGCUCUUGAUCGAAGCCCCGGUAAACGGCGGCCGUAACUAUAACGGUCCUAAGGUAGCGAAAUUCCUUGUCGGGUAAGUUCCGACCUGCACGAAUGGCGUAAUGAUGGCCAGGCUGUCUCCACCCGAGACUCAGUGAAAUUGAACUCGCUGUGAAGAUGCAGUGUACCCGCGGCAAGACGGAAAGACCCCGUGAACCUUUACUAUAGCUUGACACUGAACAUUGAGCCUUGAUGUGUAGGAUAGGUGGGAGGCUUAGAAGUGUGGACGCCAGUCUGCAUGGAGCCGACCUUGAAAUACCACCCUUUAAUGUUUGAUGUUCUAACGUUGACCCGUAAUCCGGGUUGCGGACAGUGUCUGGUGGGUAGUUUGACUGGGGCGGUCUCCUCCUAAAGAGUAACGGAGGAGCACGAAGGUUGGCUAAUCCUGGUCGGACAUCAGGAGGUUAGUGCAAUGGCAUAAGCCAGCUUGACUGCGAGCGUGACGGCGCGAGCAGGUGCGAAAGCAGGUCAUAGUGAUCCGGUGGUUCUGAAUGGAAGGGCCAUCGCUCAACGGAUAAAAGGUACUCCGGGGAUAACAGGCUGAUACCGCCCAAGAGUUCAUAUCGACGGCGGUGUUUGGCACCUCGAUGUCGGCUCAUCACAUCCUGGGGCUGAAGUAGGUCCCAAGGGUAUGGCUGUUCGCCAUUUAAAGUGGUACGCGAGCUGGGUUUAGAACGUCGUGAGACAGUUCGGUCCCUAUCUGCCGUGGGCGCUGGAGAACUGAGGGGGGCUGCUCCUAGUACGAGAGGACCGGAGUGGACGCAUCACUGGUGUUCGGGUUGUCAUGCCAAUGGCACUGCCCGGUAGCUAAAUGCGGAAGAGAUAAGUGCUGAAAGCAUCUAAGCACGAAACUUGCCCCGAGAUGAGUUCUCCCUGACUCCUUGAGAGUCCUGAAGGAACGUUGAAGACGACGACGUUGAUAGGCCGGGUGUGUAAGCGCAGCGAUGCGUUGAGCUAACCGGUACUAAUGAACCGUGAGGCUUAACCUU